rnacentral:tRNA from 1 species
GCUGGAGUGGCUCAACGGUAGAGCAGCUGAUUUGUAAUCAGCAGGUUGGGGGUUCGAUUCCCUUCUCCAGCUCCA